GUGCUUGAAAAAUGCCUGCAAAAUUCCAUCACACCUUUGCGGGGACCACUUUGGGUCUCUAAGGGAGAAGGUUUCAGCCCCUCAGGAGCUAAGAUGUACAUCCAAGGAGUUCUUUUGGCCUUGUAUGAACGAUUAAAGUCUGCAAAAAAAUAAUACAAACAGAAAAUGGAGUGUAUCUGCAGAUCAUAUAAGGUGGCAGAGGUGCCAUUUCUGGACAUUAAGCAGUCCAAAACAGAAGGAUCUUGCCCUUGAUGAAGAAAAAACAAACAAUAAUGGAUUCAACUUAAAGGACACAAAAGGUUGUUGCCUCACUGACAGCACAACACCUCGGAGGUCACGAUGUAUUCCUAACUGGCCUGGGUGGUAUGGCCAAAGAAUUCAACUGUGGCCACCCACCAGAGG